rnacentral:rRNA from 1 species
AACGAACGCUGGCGGCAGGCCUAACACAUGCAAGUCGAACGCUGUAGCAAUACAGAGUGGCAGACGGGUGAGUAACGCGUGGGAACCUUCCCAGUGGUGCGGAAUAGCUCAGGGAAACUUGAGGUAAUACCGCAUAAGCCCCUAGGGGGAAAGAUUUAUCGCCAUUGGAUGGGCCCGCGUCGGAUUAGCUAGUUGGUGAGGUAAUGGCUCACCAAGGCAACGAUCCGUAGCNGGUUUGAGAGAAUGACCAGCCACACUGGGACUGAGACACGGCCCAGACUCCUACGGGAGGCAGCAGUGGGGAAUCUUGGACAAUGGGCGCAAGCCUGAUCCAGCCAUGCCGCGUGAGUGACGAAGGCCUUAGGGUUGUAAAGCUCUUUUGCCGGGGGACGAUAAUGACGGUACCCGGAGAAUAAGUCCCGGCUAACUUCGUGCCAGCCGCCGCCGUAAU